AAACCAGGAUGUUAACUCCUGCUUGAACUGCAGGACCAAUAGAAAAGGAGUGUUAGGGCUGAGGUGGGGCAGAGAUUAAACAUCAUUCUCUCCCCCCCACCCAUCUCAACCAGCUCUGUGUAGCUGUCCAUGAAUAAAUCUAUGGCUACAUCACCCAAAAACUGUGGGGGAAGAGGAUGAGUUUUGCCUACAAGCUAAGAUGUACAGCAACCCAGCAUGUUCCCUCCAAGUCAGGAAAAUAGCCCCGGAGCUAUAACUUCUUUUGUGCGGGCAAGGCACUGCAUCUAUAGACGUAACAAGUGGAGUGGCAGAAAGACUACACUACAGGAAUCCAGCGUCAUUCAGUGCCCAGGAUAGAUAACGCUCACUGAAUGAAGCCUCAAUUGCUGCAAAAGUUGGGAGGUGCCUAGCAAAUGAGGCAGGAGAUUGCAGGAAGUGAAGACAUGGCCUUGCAGUUCA